rfam:Sphaerobolus stellatus SS14 unplaced genomic scaffold SPHSTscaffold_22, whole genome shotgun sequence.
GCCUUGCUAGCUCAAUCGGUAGAGUGUGAGGCUUUUAUAAUUCAGCUAUGAAACCUGAAUUUGUCAUCUCAAGGUUGCGGGUUCGACCCCCGCGUGGGGCU